rnacentral:rRNA from 1 species
CUCAGUUCGGAUCGGAGUCUGCAACCCGACUCCGUGAAGCUGGAUUCGCUAGUAAUCGCGCAUCAGCCAUGGCGCGGUGAAUACGUUCCCGGGCCUUGUACACACCGCCCGUCAAGCCAUGGGAGCCGGGGGUACCUGAGGUCCGUAACCGCGAGGAUCGGCCUAGGGUAAAACUGGUGACUGGGGCUAAGUCGUAACAAGGUACC